rnacentral:lncRNA from 10 species
GAAGAUGGACUUAUUGAUUUCUAUAUUCUUCCUCUAGCAUCAUGAAAUUUGACCUCUUCAGCCGUGCAUGGUUAACACUCCAUCUAUCUGAGUAAGUCCUGCCUUGAAGAAUCGUGAGUGCAAACCAGUUUGAGAGAGAAGAGGAAAAAUAAAUGAGUCGUGCUCUGUCUUCCAGGCUGGAAUGCAGUGGUAUGAUCACAACUCACAACUUACUGCAUCCUCUACCUCCUGAGCUCAAGGGGAAUCCUUCCACUUCAGCCUCCAAGGUGGCUGGGACCAUAGAUACACUCCACUACUCAAAGUUUAGCAACCACUCAAGGAAAUUUAAAACACUAAAUUUCUGGACUUGCCAGACUAAGGGCCAGACUCUGGACCUCACCAAAUUCAUCAAGGUAAUGUAACCCUGAAAUAUUCUUUUUAGUAACCAGUAUGCUUGUGGACACUUAAUUCUUUUAACAUCAAUAGCAUUUAUUGAUUGUUGCCAUUGGACCCAUCCUUAUGACCAUCUUAACAUCUCCUUCCCCAGCAAAAAAACAAAACAAAACAGAACAAAAAAAACUAAAAACAAAUAAUGCUUCACAUUAAAAAUAUGCCAUUUUCUCUCCUGUUCCUAGGGGACUUCCCUUGCUAUGAGUAUCUUGCUGGUCAGUAGAAGCAGAAAGAAUCUCAGAUGACUCUGCUUUCUUGGGAAGCACUUUGUAAAAUACAAUUUUCAAAAAGAAAAAAUAUAUAAAAUU